rnacentral:snoRNA from 1 species
UGCCAAUGAAUUCCUUACCCAACAGACCUGAACAAUGGUCUGAGUGGUUGUAAAAGGAGAACAAGUAAAAUUGAUGCCGACUUUAAUUUUUUUUUUAAACACAGGCUAGUUUCAAACUAAA